AGCGUCUCAUUAAACUUUCAGGUCUUUUCUGAGCCGUGGGAGAAAAGCGGUGUUCCCGUAAACACAUAUUUUCCUCAUUAUGAGUGAGAUUAAGGACACUCCCGUACAGAUCCAGCCAUUUCUUUUCUUUCUCUAGGACCAGAGCUCAGUUGCCAGCACUAAUACCAGGCAUCUCACAACUGCCUGUAACUCCACCUGCAGGACAUCGGGCACUGUGGCGGUUUAAAUCUGGAUGUGGAACUCUCAGCUCCUCCAGCAUCGCAUCUGCCAUGCCCUCCUCCAUGAUGGUAAUGGACUGGACCUCUGAAACUCUACAAAUAUGGAGACGGAGUCGGAGACAGGGCUCAGCGGUUAAGAGCACUGGCUGCUCCGGCAGAGCACUUGGGUUCGACUCCCGGAAGCCACGCGAUGCUCACAAGCAACCGUUAACUCCGGUCCCCGGGAUCCGACGGCCUCUCCCGACCUCCGCGGGUACCGCACGCACGGAGUGCACGGACAGACACUCAGGCGAGACGCAAACGCACAGCAAACUUGAGCUUUAAAAACAAAAAAAAAACACGACGCA